CGGGGGGAGCAAGCGUUGUUCGGAUUUACUGGGCGUAAAGGGCGCGUAGGCGGCCUCUGCAAGUCGACUGUGAAAUCUCCGGGCUUAACCCGGAAAGGUCAGCCGAUACUGCAGGGCUAGAGUGCAGAAGGGGCAACUGGAAUUCUCGGUGUAGCGGUGAAAUGCGUAGAUAUCGAGAGGAACACCUGCGGCGAAGGCGGGUUGCUGGGCUGACACUGACGCUGAAGCGCGAAAGCUAGGGGGAGCGAACGGGAUUAGAUACCCCGGCAGUCCUAGCCUUAAACGAUGAAUGCUAGGUGUCUGGGGUUUUAUAGUCCCCGGGUGCCGUCGCUAACGCUUUAAGCAUUCCGCCUGGGGAGUACGGUCGCAAGACUG
rnacentral:rRNA from 1 species